AAUUCUCAACCUCACCAGUUUUCUGAACUGUUCUCCGAGGCUUGGAUGUGGGGGUUUGUGCAGGCUGCCUCACGGCGGUCUGCUCCCCUGAAAUGCAUUAGCGAGUUCAUACUGAACUUCCGUCUAUUGGUGUGAUAAUUAUCUACGCCGUGGACGAGGUUCAGACUCGCUUCUAACCGUCCGCGAGGACAAUACCUUGACA
rnacentral:misc_RNA from 1 species